GAUUGUUGAAUUUGAUUCCAGGUGUGCAUAGUCAUUAGUCUCUUAAUUGUCUGUAUUUAAGGUCUUGUCCAUUCAGUUAGUCAAGUCUGUUCAUACCAAGUCAAGUCUCUGUUUGGAUUAUGUGUGUAUUUUGUAUUACUUUUGGAAUAAAGCUGCUCUUGGGUUCUUAAACUCACCUUCAGUGGACCUAUUGUUACACGUGUCAACAUAAAAGUGAUGUGACUUGCAGCCAAGUGGUAACCCAUGCACUGCAUUUAUCCAAUCCAAAUACAAACACCCUAAGCAGUGGGCAGCCGUUAUUACUGCAGCACGCAGAGAACUUCUUAGUGUCUGUUUCCAUGGUGACUUUAGUUUGUCACUCUGGUCUGGAUUAAUCUAAAUAAUUUCUUGUGUGUUCACUGUGAACCUCUGAGUUCACUGAACAUACUCCUGGAUGUGAUUUUGAAACCACCUCAAGUAAACAAGGUUUACUUGACAACCGAGAUAACAGGGUAUAUGCGACAGUAAAUGAACCUUGCUUUCUUGAAUAUGCCCCAGUAUGUAAUAUAGUCUUAUCUUCACAGAAUGGGUGUCUGCUUUUACAAACUGUGAAGAAAGCAGAGUUUAUGGGACUGCUUAUAAGGUACUUUUUCAACGUCUCAGCUUGAACAAGACUGACGUUCCAAAAACCCACCUACUGCCUUACUUCAUGGACCCUCCUACUGACAUUUAUGUGGACCUGUAUGUGACGUCCAUCAUAGAAGUGAAUGAAAAAGCCCAGAGCCUCUCAACACAGAUCAAAAAGAUGACUGUAAGUUUUUUUUUUUUCUCUCAAUAUUUUUCUCUUAUUUAAAUGUUUCUCAGUUUAUAAAACUUAAUUGUAUAUGACCACAAAAUCUUAUUGAAUAUUAAGCAUUUCACUCUUGAAUCCUAAGUAGUUGCUUCACCAUUUUUAUUGUUCCUAGUUUUUUAGCUUUAUUUAUUGGUAAUGCUCAACCAUCAUUUUUUUUUUUUUUAAAUUCUCACUUGGUUUUACCACAGCUCGUUUUUGUGUCAUGGCACAUAAUAUAUAUAUAUAUAAAUAAAAAAAAAAUUGGUUAUAGAGUUGAUUACA
ensembl:lncRNA